AAGCUACAUGUAAGUUAGUUAUGUCAGGUUUUAAAUGAACCAAGAUAUUUGAAGUAGAAACCAGACAAAACAUACUUGGUAAUAUUUUGCGUUUUUGCAGUGUGUGUUGUGAAUAAAA